CAGUCGCCGCGGGAAUACGAGGGGAGCUAGCGUUAUUCGGAAUUACUGGGCGUAAAGCGCACGUAGGCGGCUUUGUAAGUUAGAGGUGAAAGCCCAGAGCUCAACUCCAGAAUUGCCUUUAAGACCGCAUCGCUUGAAUCCAGGAGAGGUGAGUGGAAUUCCGAGUGUAGAGGUGAAAUUCGUAGAUAUUCGGAAGAACACCAGUGGCGAAGGCGGCUCACUGGACUGGUAUUGACGCUGAGGUGCGAAAGCGUGGGGAGCAAACAGGAUUAGAUACCCCGGUAGUCCCUGUCUCUUAUAC
rnacentral:rRNA from 1 species